GAGAGACGGAGGGAAUGGCGCCCGAAGGUCAGAGGUCAAUCUGCUUGGGCGACCUUGCUACAUGCGCCACACACGACAUGUCAAAAGUCAGGAACCGCUGUCCAGAAACAAGUGAUUCCUUCGAAAGAGAGCAGCUUUCCGCUACAAGUUUCAAUUGUUCGUCUGUUGGUUACGGCUAGGAGAGUUCAAAGAGGGAAGAGAAAAAGGAAGAAGUUUCACCUACAAGAUAACCCGCCGCUGGAGAAAUAACUCGUGGUUGGUGGUCAGCUACUACAAGUGGCCAAGGAAGCGUUGGCCCGGUCAGAAUUGAAGAAGCCAGCGAGGUCUGACAACUGGCGGAGAUCUGCAGUAACCAGUGAAAUCACCAGCAGCGUCCAUCCUGAGGGAGUUCACCGCGUGCGUGUAGUGGUCAAGACUGCCCAAA